rnacentral:rRNA from 1 species
UCUGGUGACUUUAGCUAGGGUGAAACACCUCUUCCCAUUCCGAACAGAGAAGUUAAGACCCUAAACGCCGAUGGUACUGUAUGCGCAAGUGUAUGGAAGAGUAGGUAGUCGCCAGGA